GUAGGUUAGAACGAAAUUAUGUCGUAUGUUUUGGUAUGGAGUAAAUUUUACUGAAUUACAACAGUGCUUUUGAAGGAUUUUUUAGGAAGAAAAGAAAUUAUUGGAGACAUGAUUAAUGAGGAAGACGAAUAUUUUCUGAGAGCCUCCAUUUUGCUACUGAAAGGAGGGCGAUUAGUGUCAAAAGAAACCUUGUAUAAAGAACUACGAAAGGCAGGGGUAAAUCUUGAUGUACUUCUGAAACAACACGGAAGAAAAUUCAAGCACAAAUUUGUAAAGAAACAAAGGGAGAAAUUGUUUCCAGAUGCUGGAGUACCCGACGUAGAAACAUGGGAUUUAGCCAUGCUUACAACGGUGUCAAUCACGGUGUUUAAAAAGUCACUUAGCGACGAUGAGAAAAAUGACUUGAACUCUAUAAAGUGUAUGAGGGAUGAGAUUUACGCACAUACUUAUUCUUUGUCGCUAAGUGCCGACAAUACGAAGAAAUCCGGAAGGAAUUACAAAACGCACUAACUUCACUGUCGAAUGGGUUAAGCGAAACGCUGAAAGACGACUGUCUUAAGAUCAUUCAGGAAUGCACAACUGGUCCCAUCAGCCCAUCAUUAAAAGCAGAACUUACGAAACAAACAGAAGAUACAGAAAUCUUGUCACUGUUUGUAAUGAACAAAUUGAGAAACCAGGACGAAUUUCUUUGCGAAAUGAAAAAAGAAAUGGCGGAAGAGCAAUCGGAACAGACUGUAACACCAUGGGAAGUGUCU
rnacentral:lncRNA from 1 species